rnacentral:rRNA from 1 species
CAUCUGCAACGGGAAGGGCUGAUCCAGAUCAUCGAUAUUGCGAUGACGAUGAACGCGGCUCGUCGUCCCGUUCUGGAGAAGAUCCGGCGCGAAAUAGAGGUCGGAUAAAGAGAUGGUCCACCCCUGCUGGAAACAGUGGGAUGAAGGUGAGCGAAAUUCCUUGUCGGGUAAGUUCCGACCUGCACGAAUGGCGUAACGACUAGGCGACUGUCUUAACGAGCUGCACAGCGAACUUGUGGUCCCGGUGAAGACGCCGGGUGCCCGCACCAAGACGGAAAGACCCCGUGAACCUUAACUACAGCCUGUCAGUGAAGCUGGGUGUUGCCUGCGUAGGAUAGGUGGGAGGCUAUGAAGCCUGGCUUGCGGGCUGGGUGGAGCCGCCGGUGAAAUACCACCCUGGUUUCACUUGGCUUCUAACCUGCGGCCCUGAAGCGGGUCGAGGGACCCUGGCAGGUGGGUAGUUUGACUGGGGCGGUCGCCUCCUAAAAGGUAACGGAGGCGCGCGAAGGUUGGCUCAAGGCGUUUGGAAAUCGCCUGUAGAGUGCAAGGGCAUAAGCCAGCCUGACUGCGAGACAGACACGUCGAGCAGAGACGAAAGUCGGCCCUAGUGAUCCGGUGGUCCCGCGUGGAAGGGCCAUCGCUCAACGGAUAAAAGGUACUCCGGGGAUAACAGGCUUAUCGGAGCCAAGAGUUCACAUCGACGCUCCGGUUUGGCACCUCGAUGUCGGCUCAUCGCAUCCUGGGGCUGAAGAAGGUCCCAAGGGUUGGUCUGUUCGCCCAUUAAAGCGGUACGUGAGCUGGGUUUAGAACGUCGCGAGACAGUUCGGUCCCUAUCUGGUGUGGGCGCAGGAGGUUUGAGGGAGGCUGGCCUUAGUACGAGAGGACCAGGCUGGACUGACCUCUGGUGUACCGGUUGUCGCGCCAGCGGCAGCGCCGGGUAGCUAAGUCAGGCAGGGAUAACCGCUGAAGGCAUCUAAGCGGGAAGCCCGUCCCAAGAUGAGACCUCCUCGCUGGUUAACAGGUUAGGCCCCUGGAAGACGACCAGGUUGAUAGGCCGGGUGUGUAAGCGCGGUAACGCGUUGAGCUAACCGGUACUAAUCGGCCGAGCGCUUGACCAC